UACAGAGGGUGCGAGCGUUGUUCGGAAUUACUGGGCGUAAAGCGCGCGCAGGCGGCUCUUUAAGUCUGACGGUGAAAUGCCGGGGCUCAACCCCGAGCGUGCCGGAGAUACUGGAGGGCUGGAGACGAGUAGAGGCAAGCGGAAUUCCGGGUGUAGCGGUGGAAUGCGUAGAGAUCCGGAAGAACACCGGAGGCGAAGGCGGCUUGCUGGGCUCGGUCUGACGCUGAGACGCGAAAGCGUGGGGAGCGAACCGG
rnacentral:rRNA from 1 species